rnacentral:rRNA from 1 species
GAGCGCAACCCUUGGUUCUAGUUGCCAGCAUUCAGUUGGGCACUCUAGAGCGACUGCCGGCGACAAGUCGGAGGAAGGUGGGGAUGACGUCAAAUCAUCAUGCCCCUUAUGACCUGGGCUACACACGUGCUACAAUGGAUGGUACAAAGGGCAGCGAAGCGGCGACGCAUAAGCGAAUCCCAGAAAACCAUUCUCAGUUCGGAUUGCAGGCUGCAACUCGCCUGCAUGAAGCCGGAAUCGCUAGUAAUCGCGGAUCAGCAUGCCGCGGUGAAUACGUUCCCGGGCCUUGUACACACCGCCCGUCACACCACGAGAGUUUGUAACACCCGAAGUCGGUGAGGUAACCGCAAGGAGCCAGCCGCCGAAGGUGGGACAGAUGAUUGGGGUGAAGUCGUAACAAGGUAGCCGUAUCGGAAGGUGCGGCUGGAUCACCUCCUU